rnacentral:misc_RNA from 1 species
UUUGUUCGUUUGACGCCAUUGAAGAAGUAGGAGACUAAGGCCGGUAUUUAGCGGAGAAAUAUUCAGAUUUUUGAAAUCACGAAGCCUUAAAUUAAGAUAAACAACUAUAUAAAACGUUUAUUACAUGAUAGCAGAAUAUUUUACAGCUACAGUUUUGAGGGAAAAUAGAUUUAGAAGACUGAAAGCAGGGAGUUACAAGAAGAACGUUUUUUUAUCGUACAAGACAAGAAGCUAUUGAGAAAAGGUCAACUGUGUGUUUGAGACCACUUUUUCUUUGAAAACAAAGGGCAAAUGUACCACAGUGUCCAUAAGAGUAUGUGAAGAGGCUAAAGUCUGUAUUUGCUGAUACCCUGGAGUUUGCAUGCCAGCAGCUAGGUAAGGCUACUGUAUGGCUGAAGAGGGUUAUGACAAAAUGUUAUUUUACUGUAUGGCUACCUUCCCUACCUGUUGGCAUCAAACUGUAGAGCAUCAGACAAUCAACUUAGAUCUAUCUAAAACACUUAGCAUUCAAGGAUGGAACAGAAAACUGCUGGAUUAAGCAAAUUUUACAUAACUUUUUUGUCUGAACUUUAUUGUGAUUUACUAAUCUAGUUACAUUGAUACUUAACUUACUAAUUGCUCUCUGUUAUUUUUUUUUCUUCUGUUACAUUAGUUAAAUGUAGUUUAUCAUAUACUGAAAUAUAGGUCAGUGACCUCAGUUUAUCAUUUUGAUUAUGAAACUGAGAAAUCUCUUAAACAUCAGUUCUUAAUAUUUGGGUUUUUUUUUCUGACAACCUCAUUAAUGGAAUUUAGCAUUUGUUAGUUGACAGAGGCAAAUUGAUUUGAGCUUUUAUUUUUUUGUGAUUCCAAAAUACAAACAUUUUCAUCAUAAAUUGCUGGGGAACCAUGUGUGUUCACAAUUUGGGUUUCUUUCUUCUUCAUUGGCAAAACAAAAGUCACAGAGGAUUUGUGUCUGAUUUGCUAAUGGUUAAAAGAAGUUAGCCUUUUCUUUUUUUAUAAUUUAUCCAAUUUGACAUUUCUGCAGAAAAACAACAGGCUGUCUUCUCAUGAUGUUAAUUUUACAGCUAAUCAUAAUGAAUAUCCUCUGACUUUACAUAUUGAAAUACAGUACAGUACAUCAUUUAUAUUUUUUAUUAAUGAAUGGGCACCUUCAUAGAAGCAGCUUAACUUCCAGUUGUAUAUAACCACAUCAUAAAAAGCUUUUGGACAAAAAUUCGUUAGUAUUAACAUAAAAUAUUUCAUCUUUACAGGAGUUACCUUCUGAUUAGGAUUGAUAGUAUUUUAAUGAAAUGUGUAUUAUGGAAGUUUAUUUGGCUCCAUCAAUUACAGAUUGUUCAAAAGACAUCUCCAAUUUUGACUAAAUAUGAGAUGCUAGAAGUUAACUCAGAGGUGUUGCAGUUAUUAUUCAUACAUCUUAUCGUAGAUAUGUGAUUAUUUGGUUCAAACCAUGCAGUGGUAUCAGUAGCAUGCUGUUAAUUUUAACUAGAGAAGAAUGAGAAUUGUCAUCUCAGUUUUCUCAAUUUCAAGCUUAAUUUAUUACAGCAUAUGCCAAGCCACUUAUUGAAAGUAUGUCACUGCUACAGUCCGCUGUUGAAAUAUAUAUAUAUAUAUCACUAGACUGUAGCAGUGGAUCUAAAACAUUAUUGAACUGCUACUUUUUCAACUAGUGCUUUAUAACAGCAUUUGAUCAUGCUGUUUUAUUUUUCUUCUCCAUAAUGAAGAAUUAUUUAUGCUACAUUUAAUGUAGUAUAUGUAAAUGAACAAUAUCCUGGAACUUUGUAGGGAACUACUUAACAUUGUGAAUUUUAACUGCUUUUAAGAACUAAUAACAGAAACUUAAGAUCACCCAAUCAUUUACUAUGGAUUUUAUCUAGUAAAACACGGAAAUAAAGAAACAUUAAUGUUAUGUAAUCUAAUCAAAAUUAAUUUA